GGCUCAGAUUGAACGCUGGCGGCAGGCCUAACACAUGCAAGUCGAACGGUAACAGGAAGCAGCUUGCUGCUUCGCUGACGAGUGGCGGACGGGUGAGUAAUGUCUGGGAAACUGCCUGAUGGAGGGGGAUAACUACUGGAAACGGUGGCUAAUACCGCAUAACGUCGCAAGACCAAAGAGGGGGACCUUCGGGCCUCUUGCCAUCAGAUGUGCCCAGAUGGGAUUAGCUWGUUGGUGAGGUAACGGCUCACCAAGGCGACGAUCCCUAGCUGGUCUGAGAGGAUGACCAGCCACACUGGAACUGAGACACGGUCCAGACUCCUACGGGAGGCAGCAGUGGGGAAUAUUGCACAAUGGGCGCAAGCCUGAUGCAGCCAUGCCGCGUGUAUGAAGAAGGCCUUMGGGUUGUAAAGUACUUUCAGCGGGGAGGAAGGUGUUGYGGUUAAUAACCGCAGCAAUUGACGUUACCCGCAGAAGAAGCACCGGCUA
rnacentral:rRNA from 1 species